rnacentral:rRNA from 1 species
GAUGAACGCUGGCGGCGUGCUUAACACAUGCAAGUCGAACGGAAAGGCCCAAGUUUGCUUGGGUACUCGAGUGGCGAACGGGUGAGUAACACGUGGGUGACCUGCCCUGCACUUCGGGAUAAGCCUGGGAAACUGGGUCUAAUACCGGAUAGGACCACUUCUUGGAUGUUGUGGUGGAAAGUUUUUUCGGUGUGGGAUGAGCUCGCGGCCUAUCUGCUUGUUGGUGGGGUAAUGGCCUACCAAGGCGUCGGCGGGUAGCCGGCCUGGGAGGGUGUACGGCCACAUUGGGACUGAGAUAAGGCCCAGACUCCUACGGGGGGCAGCAGUGGGGAAUAUUGCACAAGGGGCGCGAGCCUGGUGCAGCGACGCCGCGUGGGGGAUGACGGCCUUCGGGUUGGAAACUCCUUUCGCUAGGGACGAAGCGUUUUGUGACGGUACCUGGAGAAGAAGCACCGGCUAACUACGUG